rnacentral:rRNA from 1 species
ACGAACGCUGGCGGCGUGCUUAACACCUGCAAGUCGAACGGAAAGGCCCUGCUUUUGUGGGGUGCUCGAGUGGCGAACGGGUGAGUAGCACGUGAGUAACCUGCCCUUGACUUUGGGAUAACUUCAGGAAACUGGGGCUAAUACCGGAUAGGAGCUCCUGCUGCAUGGUGGGGGUUGGAAAGUUUCGGCGGUUGGGGAUGGACUCGCGGCUUAUCAGCUUGUUGGUGGGGUAGUGGCUUACCAAGGCUUUGACGGGUAGCCGGCCUGAGAGGGUGACCGGCCACAUUGGGACUGAGAUACGGCCCAGACUCCUACGGGAGGCAGCAGUGGGGAAUAUUGCACAAUGGGGGGAAGCCUGAUGCAGCAACGCCGCGUGCGGGAUGACGGCCUUCGGGUUGUAAACCGCUUUCGCCUGUGACGAAGCGUGAGUGACGGUAAUGGGUAAAGAAGCACCGGCUAACUACGUG